rnacentral:tRNA from 1 species
GGGGUUGUGGCUCAGUGGCAGAGUGAUCACUUAGCACAAGUGAGGCACUGGGUUCGAUCCUCAGCACCACA